rnacentral:rRNA from 1 species
GAGUUUGUCGCCCGCCUGGUAAACCCAGCACGGAACUGCUCCACCGAGUGUGCCGCGCUAAGGGGGGCGCGGCGCUGGGUUUGGCUUCGGGGGUGUGUGCUUGCGGUGGUCGUGCUCUGCUAUGUCUGCUCUGGUCGUCGAGGUAGAGGUCUUAAGCACACGGAAGAGGGUGGUGAUGCGCCGAGGGCUCCGCUGCUUAACCCGGAGAGGAGGAAGAGGGGAAGGCCAGCGGCGGCGAUGCAGCUAUAACCUUCCCCGAGACUGUUGAGCUUGUGGCUGAAUUCAACGUACCCCUCUCCUACGGUCUUGACGCGUCGUCAUGAGGGGUUCGUGCAGACUCCAAGUCCUUCGAACUACUAGUUGUUCGUCUCGGCCGACACUUUGGCCACGGUGGACGAGGUGUCUCUCGUCCCUUCUCGCAAGUAUAUGGACGACGGUCCCCGUCUUUCCCACGAGGAACCUCUUCUCACCACGGCCGUGGUUCUGCACGUUCUUUCCCCCGCCUUCAACAACUGAACCUACGAUUGGACCCAAGACUUGUGGAGGGAUUUCGACAACGGUAUGUACGUCAACAAACACUUAGGUUCCUGGGACGAAACUUGUUCCAACAAGUCACACAGCCGUUAUUUCCAAACUCUUACCUACCACUUUCACGACUUUUCGAACAGCCGCGACUUCUGCUAAGUUCUUAUCGUGGUUAGGGCCUCUCCCAAGUGCAUCCAUUAAGAGGACACAUAUAUUGACUGUCCUUUGAUCCAUUUCCACCGAAACCAGUUCACAUACAACCAUCUUCCCAUAGACCACCCUGACGGGCGUGACCAGGACUACGUAUACUCCAACGUAACUUCAAACUCGUGGCCUCAUCAUUUCCCACGUUAAAACGUGGGGGUAUACUCACCGUUCAAAUAGUCUGAGAGUUGCCGACGAUACCACAUGGCCGUCAGGUGAUAUUCCCGGCCGUCCCGCUGAUGAUAUAGGAACAUUACCUAUAGGAACCAGGGUCAGAAACCCUACAUACCUUAAGCGACCCUGUUCUCUACAGAGGUGUAUACCGACGAACGUAACGACAUCUUCGGUAUAGUUAAGAACUCUUCAAAGUAAGGUUUCCCAAACAAGUACCACUACACUUUGGUCUCUUGAAAGACGAACCAGACGGACCUAGUGGACUCCUCUUCUUCGAAAAGGAAUAACUAGAACCAAAUCGUAGUUUCACCUCUCUAAGCAGUCCAGUUGUACAACUAAUACUAGUUUCCCCCUGUUAAUCUAUACGUUCACGAGUACGAGUAGAUCCAGCAUGUCCAUCAUCCUCCCUACUAAAUCUCAGUAACCGUAUGUGGGAAUAUAAAAACUAUUUUCCUUCUAACGGAACCGUUCCGAUGGUCCCUCUAUGGUUCUCAAAGGAACAAACGUUCUUUUUUUACCAAUGGAGAGGCCUAUACGAUACGUCAAAGACGGGUGGAGGCAAGUUUGUCAAAGAACUCAGACAGUGUUUAUACUUUAAACUACUUCUCGGUUUAAUGCGGUUUGAAUAAAGAGAGAAACUUUCAAACUAACUUAGUGGACGUAGUUCCGGGUAGUCUUAACUACCCCGGGAAUUCCACCCCGUUUUUGCACCUUCCGAUGAACAUUUAGUACUUCUUCUACUAGUCGGAUUCUUCUUUCAAUCUAAUCCCUCGGGUCGUAGUGUCACCUAAAGUCAAAUGUUACGGUCCGCGGGAUACUUCGUCGCCAUAGUAAUGUUACACCGACUGUUGUCCGAAGUUGUCGUAUAUCUUUUCCCAUUACUCCUACCAGAUAUGUAGUCAACACACCGAAGAAGUCGUUUGGUACCGGCAUACCACGAAGAGAGGCCCUACCUCAUCAUCUAAUGUACCGGCUAUUUACCCGGUUCUUAGACAUGUAACGAAGCUAGACGAUACCCUCUUGACAGUCAACUGGUUGCAUUGAAGUUCGGGUUCCCUCCCUGCAAAUCAUGAAACCGUUUACUCGUAGUCAACUACACUCUAUGUUCUCUUAACGGUACUAUCCUAAGUUUUCGUCUUCAACUACACUACCAAUUGAGCUGGAUUAACAUUUUGGCUUACGUACAACACCUGGAAGAGGUAUUCUUCGAUUGUAUUAGGUGUGCUUUAAACGUA